rnacentral:misc_RNA from 1 species
AGCAAAAACCAUAAUUCCUUUUCUCUGUGUUCGUAUCCAAAAAUCUUCAGGCAUAAGGUCUUUAGUCUUUCGAUGCUUUUUUGUUGAGAAUAAGAUGCCACUGUGACUAGAUAUAGUAAUUGAAGGCCUUAUCCAGGAUGAACACUUGUGGAAUCGAAAUCCUCUCAGCAUGCACCUACGUCCUGGCGGAGCUUCACCACCAAAUUGAGUCAAGAUGCGCUCAAAAUAUUUUACAUACCUAAUCUGACUUGGAAGAAUAAGAGCCUUCCCAUCUAUGCAUCUUUUUUGGUUAUAAUAGUUGAUGCAUUCCUCAGCUGUUGGGAAAAACUUCAAGAACAAAAGGAGGCUACAAAUCAUAAGUCCUGUCCUCGCCAUUCCAGCUUUACAGUGUACAACUACCACAUUUAGAAUGUCCUCCUUCAACCAUGAAUAUGCACUUAGGCAGAACAGUUUAAUAAGAUGAAUUGGCGGGCAGUUGUGGUCAUCAAAUGGGAAAGAUGCAACCUUUCCUCCAAAUAAUGAUGCAUCAUACAAUCUCUCUGAACAAAGAUUGUAAACUUUGUAUUUUCCCUGAUGAUGAGUCUCGAAAAAUUUGAUCACUUCCUCCAUGUGAUUCCGAUAGAAUCCCUCCACAUAUCCAAAGAAACCAGAGCUCAUGUCGCCUGCAGGGAAACCCAUAGCUAUGAUGUUCUCGGUUAUGUAAGUCAUAUCCAAAUCAAAUCCAUCCUCCUGGUAUCUUCGUUUGUUUUGAG